GUGUGCUUACAAGUAGUCAGAGCCCGUUAAUGGGUGAUGGCGUGCCUUUUGUAGAAUGAACCGGCGAGUUACGAUUUGAUGCAAGGUUAAGCAGUAAAUGUGGAGCCGUAGCGGAAGCGAGUCUGAAUAGGGCGUUUAGUAUUUGGUCGUAGACCCGAAACCAGGUGAUCUACCCUUGGUCAGGUUGAAGUUCAGGUAACACUGAAUGGAGGACCGAACCGACUUACGUUGAAAAGUGAGCGGAUGAACUGAGGGUAGCGGAGAAAUUCCAAUCGAACCUGGAGAUAGCUGGUUCUCUCCGAAAUAGCUUUAGGGCUAGCCUCAAGUGAUGAUUAUUGGAGGUAGAGCACUGUUUGGACGAGGGGCCCCUCUCGGGUUACCGAAUUCAGACAAACUCCGAAUGCCAAUUAAUUUAACUUGGGAGUCAGAACAUGGGUGAUAAGGUCCGUGUUCGAAAGGGAAACAGCCCAGACCACCAGCUAAGGUCCCAAAAUAUAUGUUAAGUGGAAAAGGAUGUGGCGUUGCCCAGACAACUAGGAUGUUGGCUUAGAAGCAGCCAUCAUUUAAAGAGUGCGUAAUAGCUCACUAGUCGAGUGACACUGCGCCGAAAAUGUACCGGGGCUAAACAUAUUACCGAAGCUGUGGAUUGUCCUUUGGACAAUGGUAGGAGAGCGUUCUAAGGGCGUUGAAGCAUGAUCGUAAGGACAUGUGGAGCGCUUAGAAGUGAGAAUGCCGGUGUGAGUAGCGAAAGACGGGUGAGAAUCCCGUCCACCGAUUGACUAAGGUUUCCAGAGGAAGGCUCGUCCGCUCUGGGUUAGUCGGGUCCUAAGCUGAGGCCGACAGGCGUAGGCGAUGGAUAACAGGUUGAUAUUCCUGUACCACCUAUAAUCGUUUUAAUCGAUGGGGGGACGCAGUAGGAUAGGCGAAGCGUGCGAUUGGAUUGCA
rnacentral:rRNA from 1 species